rnacentral:rRNA from 1 species
UUAAUUGAAGAGUUUGAUCAUGGCUCAGAUUGAACGCUGGCGGCAGGCUUAACACAUGCAAGUCGAGCGGUAGCACA